GACGAACGCUGGCGGCGUGCUUAACACAUGCAAGUCGAACGGAAAGGCCCUGCUUGCAGGGUACUCGAGUGGCGAACGGGUGAGUAACACGUGGGUGAUCUGCCCUGCACUUCGGGAUAAGCUUGGGAAACUGGGUCUAAUACCGGAUAGGAGCCAUCUUUAGUGUGGUGGUUGGAAAGUUUUUUCGGUGUAGGAUGAGCUCGCGGCCUAUCAGCUUGUUGGUGGGGUAAUGGCCUACCAAGGCGGCGACGGGUAGCCGGCCUGAGAGGGUGUACGGCCACAUUGGGACUGAGAUACGGCCCAGACUCCGACGGGAGGCAGCAGUGGGGAAUAUUGCACAAUGGGCGCAAGCCUGAUGCAGCGACGCCGCGUGGGGGAUGAAGGCCUUCGGGUUGUAGACUCCUUUCGCUAGGGACGAAGCUUUGUUGUGACGGUACCUAGAUAAGAAGCACCGGCUAACUACGUG
rnacentral:rRNA from 1 species